UACCUGUGUGUGUACCUGUGUGUGUACCUUUGGGUAGUAGAAGGCGGCGAUGACCCGGCGGAGUCGGUUGGUGUAAACUUGGCAGCAGGUUGAACUGGGUGAAGGUGUGUCUGCUCACGAUGUCCAGAACGUGGAACACAGAGAAGUCCAGCGUUAGCAGCAGGACAGACAGCAGGGAGACAGACAGCACCUGGAACACACCUGAGAGGCAGAAGGCAGAGCUUCCCCUGAACGCACCACCACACCACAAGAAGGAACCACAACAAAGGAGCACCGACAGGACGACCAGCAUCAGGUACGCUCGGCCACGGGAGCCAAGCAUGCUGGGAAACAUCAGGAAGGCC